GAUGAACGCUGGCGGCGUGCCUAAUACAUGCAAGUCGAGCGAAUGGAUUAAGAGCUUGCACUUAUGAAGUUAGCGGCGGACGGGUGAGUAACACGUGGGUAACCUGCCCAUAAGACUGGGAUAACUCCGGGAAACCGGGGCUAAUACCGGAUAACAUUUUGAACCGCAUGGUUCGAAAUUGAAAGGCGGCCUCGGCUGUCACUUAUGGAUGGACCUGCGUCGCAUUAGCUAGUUGGUGAGGUAACGGCUCACCAAGGCAACGAUGCGUAGCCGACCUGAGAGGGUGAUCGGCCACACUGGGACUGAGACACGGCCCAGACUCCUACGGGAGGCAGCAGUAGGGAAUCUUCCGCAAUGGACGAAAGUCUGACGGAGCAACGCCGCGUGAGUGAUGAAGGCUUUCGGGUCGUAAAACUCUGUUGUUAGGGAAGAACAAGUGCUAGUUGAAUAAGCUGGCACCUUGACGGUACCUAACCAGAAAGCCACGGCUAACUACGUGCCAGCAGCCGCAGUAA
rnacentral:rRNA from 1 species